GACGAACGCUGGCGGCGUGCUUAACACAUGCAAGUCGAACGGAAAGGCCCUGCUUUUGUGGUGUGCUCGAGUGGCGAACGGGUGAGUAACACGUGAGUAACCUGCCCUUGACUUUGGGAUAACUUCAGGAAACUGGGGCUAAUACCGGAUAGGAGCUCCGGCUGCAUGGUGGGGGUUGGAAAGUUUCGGCGGUUGGGGAUGGACUCGCGGCUUAUCAGCUUGUUGGUGGGGUAGUGGCUUACCAAGGCCUUGACGGGUAGCCGGCCUGAGAGGGUGACCGGCUACAUUGGGACUGAGAUACGACACAGAUACCUACGGGAGGAAGGAGUGGGAAAUAUUGCACAAUGGGCGGAAGACUGAUGCAGGAACGCCGCGUGCGGGAUGACGGCGUUCGGGCUGUAAACCGCUUUCGCCUGUAACGAAGCGUGGGUGACGGUAAUGGAGAAGGAAGAACGGGCUACUUACGU
rnacentral:rRNA from 1 species